AUUAAAAACAUAAAUUUGAUUUAUUUUAAAAUACAUUUAGUUUAAAGUCUGUUUUAUAUCAUCCAUCGUCUGGCACUUCUUUCAUCAUUUAUGGUGUUGUUACAUCGAAAUAUCUUGAGAUAUAAAAAAAAAAACAAUCCACAAGUCCAUAUAUAUAUCAUACUGAAGGUUUUCUUCAUCAGAAUCAACCCAGCCUCCAUCAAAAAAGCAACAAACCUUUUGUGCUUUUCGAUAGAUAAGACGGGCCAUUCCGUUAGUUCAACUCAUUUCUGGUUACGUUAGAUUCCAACAGGCCCAAUGAAUUGAUCAGCUCUGGUAUUCUUUCGUCUGCUGUCGUAUUUGUACCUUCAGGUGUGACGAAACCUUUGGUUCUGUUCUGCUACUUCAGAGAAUGCAGUAACGAAAAUUUUGUAUCGUUAUCAUCAUCAUCAUCGACUGAUAGAUACAGAUGAAAUAAAACGUGUGCGUAUGUAUAUACACAUAUUUCACAAAGACAAGAAAGAAAAGAAGUGUCUGGUGGAGACAUGGUGUUACAAGAGAGGUGCCGCACUCCGAGUGAUUUGUAGGUGGCGCACGAACAUUGAAUUAAUUAUUCACAUCGAAAGUUAGAAGGAGCGUAUCAAAGAGAGAUUGAAAUUGAAAUGGGAUGUUCCAUGCUUUUUGAACUUAAAACUGUUAAUUUAAAAUUAAAAUCGAAAAACCUUUUAUUUCGAUUAAAGCCAAUACAAAUAGUUCCAGCUUGGAUGAAUCUUUUCUUCGAAAGAUAAAAAGAAAAAAAACACAAAAGUCAUAUUUCGACAUAUUUUGGCAAAUUGCGGGGAAAACAGAAAAUGAAAUAAAAAUGUAAAGUUAUAUGAAAAAUAUUAAUUUGACAAAAUAUUGUACCUGGGAGGUGAGAAACUUGGAGAAUUCUUUCACAAAACAAGAAUUGAAUAUGUAAGGCAAUGGGAUAGGAUAAAAACAAAAACUGGUUUUAAUGUGUUUCACUGAGAAAUAUUGGGUUUAAAUUUUGGCACAGGGUCAAUUACAUCAACCCCAGUGUUUAACUGGUACUUAUUUUAUCAACCCCAGAAGGAUGAAGGGCAAAGUCAACCUCAGCGGAAUUUGAACUCAGAACGUAAAGACAGCUGAAAUGCUGCUAAGCAUUUUGUCUGGCAUGCUAACACUUCUGCCAGCUUGCUGCCUUAUUUCUCUGAGAAAUAUUGGUCAAUGAAAUAGUUGAGUAUUGUCUUGAGCCCUAGGACUCAUAGGGCCAUCUACUCAGUUUCCAUGGUGUAUAUAUGUGGUCAAGAUCACAACACUGCCCUUGAGUGAAAAGCCAGGCCAUCACAAGGGGGACUCGUUUACAGUUGAGCUUUGGACUGGAACAACAUGGAAUGAAGUGUUUUGCUCAAGAACACAACGCAUCACCCAGUCUGGGAAUUGAAACCAUGAUCUUACAAUUGUGAGGGCAACACCCUAACCACUGGUUCGUCACAUCUGUGUUCGUUUAUUUGAUGUGUGUCUUUUAUGAGAUGACAAGUUGUUGAGAUGUGAAGAUUGAGAUAAAAAAAAAACUGUUGGGAAACAAUAACGAAAUAAUAUCGAACAAUAUUGAAACAAUAUCAAACAACAUUGAAUAUUGAACAAUAUUGAAUUGGCUAAAUGUUAGAAUCUCUUUCUUCAGCAGUUGUUAGCUUCGAGCAUUGAGCAGAAACACUAAACUCUCAGAAUGUUCCAGAGAGAAGCUGACAGCAAACUGGCAUCAUAUAACAAGCGAUGGAGGGAAUGGGGACUGUUGGUGGUGUUGGUGGUGGUCAUGGUGGUGAUGGUGUUGGAGUUGGGAGAGGUCCUGGGGUUGGUUUUACUUCCAACGAGUGCAACAGAGGCAGAGAUAAACAGCAACAAACACAUGAACAUGUGAAGUGUCUUCUAAGUGACUAGCAUUGGUAUCGAUUGAUGGGACUAUCAAAUGUUGUUAUACACCGCUGGCCACAAUGCACUUUGCAUUGUUUUAGGGUUUUGAAUGACGCUCACGCUACCAGGUGGGGUGAGCAGAUUAACGUUCCUGCUGCAUGGAAUAACAGUCCAUUGCAAAGUUAGUGAAUUAGAGCAAAGUGAAGUGAAGUGUUCUGCUCAAGAACACAACAUGCAGCUGGUCUGAGAGUCAAAACAAUGAUAUCACAAUCACGAGUGCAACACUCCUCACCAUUAGACCACGUGCCUUUACCUUAAAAGCGAUCAGGUGACAAAAACAAAGCAAAAACAAAGAGUAAAGUUUAAAAAGAUGAAUGUGAUGAAAGUCUUUAAAAAAAUGAUGGAUCUUAACCCUUUCGUUACCAACCUGGCUGAAACCGGCUCUGGCUCUGUAGUACAAAUGUCUUGUUUUUGAAAGUUCUGAAUUAAAAUCUUCCCCCAAACCUUAGUCACAAUUUAUGUUCCUAACACUAACUUAAUGAUAACCAAGUUAUUUUACUAAAUUCUUUGUUAUAUUUAAAGUAAUUGACAAGAAACACAGACCAUUUCAAAAUAAAUACGGUAACGGAAAGUUUAAAAUAUACAAUAGAGAAACAAUUCCUAACCCUUUCAUUACCAACCCAGCUGAAACCGGUGCUGGCUCUGAGUACAAAUGUCUUGUUUUCAUAAGUUUUGAAUUACAAUCUUCUACCAAGCCUUAGUCAUAAUUUAUGUUCCUAACACAAGCUUAAUGAUAACUAAGUUAUUUUACUAAACUCUUAGUUAUAUUUAAAAUUAAUUGAAAGAAAAACAGAGCAUCUCAAAAUAAAUACAGUAAGGAAAGGGUUAAAAAGACGAAUGUUAUAAAACCAUAGAUCUUCCUUGUUGAAAGAUGAGAAUUGUCUUACAAAAAUGAUGAAUCUUAAUCUGUUGAUGUGUAUCUUGAGCACAAAGCAAAGAAACAUUUUGAAGAGGGCAAGGGUUAAACAAACUUGGUUGCAAAGGUAUUUUUAGCCUGGUGAUUGUUUUUUUUAUGUUUUAAAAUUAAUUUUUUUUGGCUGUAGAUUAAUUAAAACACGUGAGUAAUUAGGUGAGUGUGUUGCACAUGUUAUGGAGAGACUUAAAAGAGUGAAGCAGUGAGAAACUUAACGAGAGCACUAACGAGUACCAUAUUUAAUCCUUUAGCAUUUAAACAGGCCGCAUUUGGCCCAAAUAUUCUAUUUUAUGUUCAAAAUGGCCAUAUCUGGCCUCUCACACCUACCCUACAAUGUCAUUCAAAAAUAAACAAUCAUAUCAUUGGCAUCUCAAAGCUAUGAGAUGAUCCAGGAUUAAUUCAAAACAAUGUAAAUAAAUAAGCAUUACUGUUGUUAGAUAAAUCUGAAUGCCAAAGAUAUUUUUUUUUCUAAAAAAUGCAAGAGUGGCUGUGUGGUAAGUAGCUUGCUAACCAACCACAUGGUGGCGGGUUCAGUCCCACUGCGUGGCAUCUUGGGCAAGUGUCUUUAAUAUUUUUUUAAAGUACUGGGAUCGAUUCAUUCAAUUAAAAAUUCUUCAAGGCUGCAGUUUAAUGAGUGAAACAAGUAAAAGCUAAAAGAUUAACCAACCUCCAAACUGAAAAUCACUGCAUCACACUUCUUUUUCACUUCCCUACCAACCCAUCUUUUUCUGACCCUUUAUCUCUAUUUUUCUCUCCCUAAUAUUCACCUUCUACCCUUGACCUCACAUCCCUCUCUCUCUCUUUCUUUCCAGAUCAGUAAACCAUAUUAUAUUCAGUUCUAUAUUUUGGGGAUGAGGAAUUAUGGACAUUAUUUGCAACGGACAGACAUGUGCCCUCAUCUUUGUUGUUACCACAACAUUUCGGCUGAUGUACUCUCCAGCCUUCAUCAGGUGUCCUGGUAGAAUUUUGAACCUAACCCUUUAUUUGACCAAUGGGGUACUCUGUUCUCAUUCCUAAGGUAUUUUUUGCUGAUGUUAUUAUUAUCAUUAUUUAUUCAAGUCACUCUCUGGGAUUGAACCAGAAUCUCAGAGUUAGUAGCCCACGCUCUUAACCACUAUGCUAUAACAGCAAAAAAUAACUUAGGAAUGAGAACAGAGUACCCCAUUAGUCAAAUAAUGGGUUGGGUUUGAAAUUUCACCAGGACACCUGAUGAAAGCUGGAGAGUACAUCAGACGAAAUGUUGUAACACCAAACAAGAUAAGGACAUCUAUCCAUCCAAUAUAAAUAAUGAACAUAUCAUAUUCACUUCUUCAGCAAGAUACACGACCCUAUUCCUCUAUCAUACCUUCAUAUCCUGCAAUAUUAUACCCCGCUCAGUUAAGGGGUCCUGCCUUGCAAAUUACUCGAUGACCUUACUGCCACCAGUGCCACAAAAACAGCAAC
rnacentral:lncRNA from 1 species